AUUGAACGCUGGCGGCAUGCUUUACACAUGCAAGUCGAGCGGCAGCGCGGGGGCAACCCUGGCGGCGAGCGGCGAACGGGUGAGUAAUACAUCGGAACGUGCCCCGUAGUGGGGGAUAACUCAGCGAAAGCUGGGCUAAUACCGCAUAUGCUCUACAGAGGAAAGUGGGGGACCGCAAGGCCUCACGCUAUGGGAGCGGCCGAUGUCCGAUUAGCUUGUUGGUGAGGUAAAGGCUCACCAAGGCGACGAUCGGUAGCUGGUCUGAGAGGAUGAUCAGCCACACUGGGACUGAGACACGGCCCAGACUCCUACGGGAGGCAGCAGUGGGGAAUUUUGGACAAUGGGGGCAACCCUGAUCCAGCCAUGCCGCGUUCGGGAAGAAGGCCUUCGGGUUGUAAACCGCUUUUGUCCGGGAAGAAAAGACCUCUCCUAAUACGAGGGGUUCUUGACGGUACCGGAAGAAUAAGCACCGGCUAACUACGUGCCAGCAGCCGCGGUAAGAC
rnacentral:rRNA from 1 species